UACGAAGGGGGCUAGCGUUGUUCGGAAUUACUGGGCGUAAAGCGCACGUAGGCGGAUAUUUAAGUCGGGGGUGAAAUCCCGGGGCUCAACCCCGGAACUGGCCUUCGAUACUGGGUAUCUUGAGUUCGGAAGAGGUGAGUGGAAUUGCGAGUGGUAGAGGUGAAAUUCGUAGAUAUUCGCAGGAACACCAGUGGCGAAGGCGGCUCACUGGUCCGAUACUGACGCUGAGGUGCGAAAGCGUGGGGAGCAAACAGG
rnacentral:rRNA from 1 species